rnacentral:lncRNA from 1 species
CGAAGGACGGCCGAGUCUUUGCUACAGUAUCUUAUCCUGGCGAACGCAUUUAUACAAUCAUGGACAGUGUUAAGAUGGGCGUGAAGGAAAUGGUUAUUGAAGUGAAUGGACUUCCAGACGAAUACCCCAAUAAUAAAAUGAUUGACAAAUUAACCAUGCACUUUCUGAGACCCAGUAACAAUGGUGGAGAGGUUUUAAUAGUGAUAUAUCCCACCUCCAACAAAGGCCAGGCUUAUGUUGUUUUUGAAUCAGAAGGUAUGAUACUAUGCAUUGAUGUUCUGUUCUUAUACAUAUAUCUAAGUUUAACAUCAUAUUUCAUGACUAACAUUUCUUUUUCUUUUUUUAAUUCAAUAUCUUAGUACCCCGAGUCUUGGACCAUAAUCAUGUUUUGGAACUGGAUGGUCAGUUUUACCCACUGGAUGUUAAAAAGAUACAUCAGCCUAAGGUAAGACAUUUUAUUGGUGAACUUUAUUCUCC